rnacentral:rRNA from 1 species
CAUACCGAAAGGUAUGCUAAUACGGGAUAAUAUAUUUGAGAGGCAUCUCUUAAAUAUCAAAGGUGAGCCAGUACAGGAUGGACCCGCGUCUGAUUAGCUAGUUGGUAAGGUAACGGCUUACCAAGGCAACGAUCAGUAGCCGACCUGAGAGGGUGAUCGGCCACAUUGGAACUGAGACACGGUCCAAACUCCUACGGGAGGCAGCAGUGGGGAAUAUUGCACAAUGGGCGAAAGCCUGAUGCAGCAACGCCGCG